GACGAACGCUGGCGGCGUGCUUAACACAUGCAAGUCGAACGGAAAGGCCCUGCUUGCAGGGUACUCGAGUGGCGAACGGGUGAGUAACACGUGGGUGAUCUGCCCUGCACUUCGGGAUAAGCUUGGGAAACUGGGUCUAAUACCGGAUAGGAGCCAUCUUUAGUGUGGUGGUUGGAAAGUUUUUUCGGUGUAGGAUGAGCUCGCGGCCUAUCAGCUUGUUGGUGGGGUAAUGGCCUACCAAGGCGGCGACGGGUAGCCGGCCUGAGAGGGUGGACGGCCACAUUGGGACUGGGAUACGGCCCAGACUCCUACGGGAGGCAGCAGUGGGGAAUAUUGCACAAGGGGCGCAAGCCUGAUGCAGCGACGCCGCGUGGGGGAUGAAGGCCUUCGGGUUGUAAACUCCUUUCGCUAGGGACGAAGCUUUUUGUGACGGUACCUAGAUAAGAAGCACCGGCUAACUACGUG
rnacentral:rRNA from 1 species